GCAAGUCGAACGAAGUAGCAAUACUUAGUGGCAGACGGGUGAGUAACAUGUAGGUAUCUGCCCUUUGGCCUGGAAUAACACGAGGAAACUUGUGCUAAUACCGGAUAAGUCUUUACGGAGAAAGCUUUAUGCACCAUUGGAUGAGCCUGCACUUGAUUAGUUUGUUGGUGGGGUAAUGGCCUACCAAGACUGUGAUCAAUAGCUGAUUUGAGAGGAUGAUCAGCCACACUGGGACUGAGACACGGCCCAAACUCCUACAGGAGGCAGCAGUGGGGAAUCUUGCACAAUGGAGGAAACUCUGAUGCAGCGAUGCCGCGUGAGUGAAGAAGGCCCUUGGGUUGUAAAGCUCUUUCGUCGGGGAAGAAAAUGACUGUACCCGAAUAAGAAGGUCCGGCUAACUUCGUGCCAGCAGCCGCGGUAAUACGAAGGGACCUAGCGUAGUUCGGAAUUACUGGGCUUAAAGAGUUCGUAGGUGGUUGAAAAAGUUGGUGGUGAAAUCCCAGGGCUUAACUCUGGAACUGCCAUCAAAACUUUUCAGCUAGAGUAUGAUAGAGGAAAGCAGAAUUUCUAGUGUAGAGGUGAAAUUCGUAGAUAUUAGAAAGAAUACCAAUUGCGAAGGCAGCUUUCUGGAUCAUUACUGACACUGAGGAACGAAAGCAUGGGUAGCGAAGAGGAUUAGAUACCCUCGUAGUCCAUGCCGUAAACGAUGUGUGUUAGACGUUGGAAAUUUAUUUUCAGUGU
rnacentral:rRNA from 1 species